UUCUUUAAAUGAGGACUGGAAUGAAAGGCUCAAUGGGGGUUAUCUGUCUCAAACUGAUUAAUUUAAAAUUUAUUUAUUGGGUGAAAAUACCCUUAAUAAUUAAAUAAGACGAGAAGACCCUUAGAAUUAUUUACAAAUUUUUAAAUCAAUCUUAAUUUGUUUUUGUUGGGGCAACACUAACCUUUUAAACGGUUAUUAAAUAAAUAUAACAGGUAAUUUAUAUUUCGCCAGAUUUUAAUUACCUGAGGGAUAACAGCAUAAUUUAAAAUAAGAUUGUGACCUCGAUGUUGGACUAGGGACUUUUUUUAUUAGACAUAAAAAAAGAUGGUUCUGUUCGAACUAAUUUACCCUACGUGAUCUGAGUUCAGAACUC
rnacentral:rRNA from 1 species